AUGAAGGCUUUCCUACUGUGGCUCAGCAGAGUCUCUUUAUUGAAUCCACAAGAGAAGAAAAACUUAGAUGGAGCAGGAAAAGGAAGGCAUCUUUUCCCCUGGGUACUGUACAUUUCCACUUUCGUGAGGCACUGCUCCAUCCUUUUUCUCACAGCCACCAACUCCUUUGUCGGAUAUAAAGUUGCAGCUGUAGCUAGCUCACAUCUGAGUGUGCUUUCAGUGGGCCCAGUCCUUUGUUUCUCUGGGAAGCCAAGCCCUUAAGUUUUUUUUCGUCUUGUCUCAGUGAGUAUUUUGCCUGGUUUAGGAAAGUAGGGUCAUUAAUUUCAUGGUUAGCAGCUCAUUUGUUUCAUUUCAAAAAUAAUAAAUAUCUGUCAUUGGUACUGCUGCA
rnacentral:lncRNA from 1 species